AUGAACGCUGGCGGCGUGCCUAAUCCCUGCAAGUCGCGCGAACAGACUAGGAGCUUGCUCCUCUGACGUUAGCGGCGGACGGGUGAGUAACACGUGGAUAACCUACCUAUAAGACUGGGAUAACUUCGGGAAACCGGAGCUAAUACCGGAUAAUAUAUUGAACCGCAUGGUUCAAUAGUGAAAGACGGUUUUGCUGUCACUUAUAGAUGGAUCCGCGCCGCAUUAGCUAGUUGGUAAGGUAACGGCUUACCAAGGCGACGAUGCGUAGCCGACCUGAGAGGGUGAUCGGCCACACUGGAACUGAGACACGGUCCAGACUCCUACGGGAGGCAGCAGUAGGGAAUCUUCCGCAAUGGGCGAAAGCCUGACGGAGCAACGCCGCGUGAGUGAUGAAGGUCUUCGGAUCGUAAAACUCUGUUAUUAGGGAAGAACAAAUGUGUAAGUAACUAUGCACGUCUUGACGGUACCUAAUCAGAAAGCCACGGCUAACUACGUG
rnacentral:rRNA from 1 species